CUUAUGAUUUGGGCUACACACGUGCUACAAUGGCGUAAACAAAGGGAAGCGAACCCGCGAGGGUGGGCAAAUCCCAAAAAUAACGUCCCAGUUCGGACUGUAGUCUGCAACCCGACUACACGAAGCUGGAAUCGCUAGUAAUCGCGGAUCAGAAUGCCGCGGUGAAUACGUUCCCGGGUCUUGUACACACCGCCCGUCACACCAUGGGAGUCAGUAACGCCCGAAGUCAGUGACCUAACCGCAAGGAAGGAGCUGCCGAAGGCGGGACCGAUGACUGGGGUGAAGUCGUAACAAGGUAGCCGUAUCGGAAGGUGCGGCUGGAUCACCUCCUUUCUAAGGAA
rnacentral:rRNA from 1 species